rnacentral:rRNA from 1 species
AUUGAACGCUGGCGGCAGGCCUAACACAUGCAAGUCGAGCGGAUGAGAGGAGCUUGCUUCUCGAUUCAGCGGCGGACGGGUGAGUAAUGCCUAGGAAUCUGCCUGGUAGUGGGGGACAACGUUUCGAAAGGAACGCUAAUACCGCAUACGUCCUACGGGAGAAAGCAGGGGACCUUCGGGCCUUGCGCUAUCAGAUGAGCCUAGGUCGGAUUAGCUAGUUGGUGAGGUAAUGGCUCACCAAGGCGACGAUCCGUAACUGGUCUGAGAGGAUGAUCAGUCACACUGGAACUGAGACACUGUCCAGACUCCUACGGGAGGCAGCAGUGGGGAAUAUUGGACAAGGGGCGAAAGCCUGAUCCAGCCAUGCCGCGUGUGUGAAGAAGGUCUUCGGAUUGUAAAGCACGUUAAGUUGGGAGGAAGGGUUGUAGAUUAAUACUCUGCAAUUUUGACGUUACCGACAGAAUAAGCACCGGCUAACUCUGUGCCAGCCGCCGCGGUAAAAC